UAAGUGUCCUUUUUUUGUUGA
rnacentral:piRNA from 1 species